rnacentral:rRNA from 1 species
UACGGGGGGGGUAAGCGUUGUUCGGAAUUACUGGGCGUAAAGGGCUCAUAGGCGGCCAACUAAGUCAUACGUGAAAUCCCUCAGCUUAACUGGGGAACUGCGUGUGAUACUGGAUGGCUUGGAUUUGGGAGAGGGAUGCGGAAUUCCAGGUGUAGCGGUGAAAUGCGUAGAUAUCUGGAGGAACACCGGUGGCGAAGGCGGCAUCCUGGACCAAUAUUGACGCUGAGGAGCGAAAGCCAGGGGAGCAAACGGG